CAGGCUGGAGGAGGGGUGCCCUUCAUCAUCUUGUGAGCAUCUGGGCCAAGUUCAGGGCUGGUGCUCUCUUUCCGAUAGAUUCAGCUGGUGGCACAGAGAUCUGUGAGCUUGCUUUUGCGGGACUUUAAUGAUAUAUACAAGCAGCACGAGGUGCUCCUGACUGUGGAUUAAUUUGGAGAUGACUCUCUGUUGAAGAGUGGCAAGACUCUUGCAAGUUCUUAAAAAUACACUUGUUUGGUAUGAGAAUAAAAAGCAGUGGCUGAAGAACCAGUCUUCUAUGGGCAAGGCUUCUCUGAUGGACAUUUACAUGGCUUUCAUUUAUCUUCCAUUACAAGAAUAUUUUGUACAUGCAUGUGAGUUUUUCUAUAAGAAACACUUCCAGCUUUUCAUUUAAGUCAGAGACUCAAACCUGAAAUGCAAAAGCUUGUAAAACUGUGAGGUGUUAUCAUCCCACCAAAGGAAUGAGAGGGGAACCAGUGAAUGCAUCUGUCUGUUUUGAUCCACCAUGAUAACAGUAAUAGAAAAACUAAGUAAGGACAUCUUACUGAGUUGCAAACAUACUGGAUUUGUAAUGACUUCAGACCAGGAUAUUCACGUGCAAAUAGCCAAGCACCAUGGCCCUCUCU